rnacentral:rRNA from 1 species
GCGGGAAGCCCCCUUCAAGAUGAGUUUUCCCUGAGACUUCGAGUCUCCUAAAGGGCCCAGGAAGACGACCUGGUUGAUAGGCUGGAUGUGUAAGCGCUGUGAGGCGUUGAGCUGACCAGUACUAAUUGCCCGUGCGGCUUGGCCAUAUAACGCCCAAGGGGU